AACGGACAUGGCCGGGGCUGACGGCACGCGGGUGUCGUUCGCGACGGGCGGGCGGUCCUCCCGUCCGGCCGUCGC
rnacentral:tRNA from 1 species